CUUAGAUGAAAGUCCAUAUUAGUAACUUCUAAUGAACAUGUACUAUAUAUAUUGUUACAAUAAUAAGAACUCUAGACACACACAAACAAAAAAGAUUUUUCCUUUAAUUCAAUAUGGAAAAGAAAUUGUUGACUGUGUUUUAUUUGGCCAUCUUAUUGAUCUUUUCAUGUGAUAUGGUGAUAGGACAACGACCGAAGUGUGAGACUACCGAUGAUUGUAAUCAACAAGAUUGCGAGUGGGGGAUCGCCGUUCAGUUUCGCAAAUGUUGUGACGGUGAAUGUUAUUGUGUUAAUUACAGAAAUCCCUGUCCUCAUCAAUCACGUGGUGGAUCUGGCCGCAAAGUUAUCUCAUAGGAUUCUUCCUAGUUGUUUAAAGUUAUUGGAGUUUUGGGCAAGUGGAUUUAAUGCCUAAUACUUGCUUAUAUAAUUAUUAAUUAUUACUAUGUUUCAAGGAGUAUUGCAAUAUCAAAUGAUGUUAUCAAUCAAAUUUUAA